AUGUUAUUUACUUUCCUUGAAGAAAAAGGUUUACAUGAUGUAUCAUGUGUCUAAAGUGAAAAGAUUUAUGACAAGAUUCAAUUCAAGUUGUCAUUCAACACAAUCACGUAUAAGUUGAUCGGUAACGGUAAUUUAUAAUUUAAGUCACUUAUAAUUUGAGACUUUUUGAGAAUGGUGAAAAGUAUAAAAAAAAACAAUCUUUAUUUUCGUUUUUAUUAUUCAAGAAAAAUACUUGAUGAAAGAAUUAACAUUUUUCCAACCCAAUGCUGGUGUUUACUUGUCAUAAUACUCUAAUCAUGUCAUAACCUGAUAAAAACAAAAUUUAUGUACAAAAUUGAAUGUUGGCAAAAAAUUUCUCAAUUUCAAAAUAGGUUGACUUACUCACAAAUUUUAUUAAUAAAUGAAUCGCUAAGUUGGUACCUUUGAGAGCUCAAUAAGAGCAUUAUUAUGGAGAUAAAGAUUUUAUUUUACUAUUUAUUUUUCGGUCCACAUUACAUAUUUUGUUGAUGUUCUUAAAUUUUCCUUUUCUUAAAUUGUGCUACCUCGAUUUUUUUGAAAAUUCUUUUAUUGGGUUCUCAAAGGUACCGGCCUACCAUUCAUAUAGAAAUUUUGUGAUCAAAUGUCAAUGUUUUGAAAUUUGGGGGAAAUAAUUACACUUUCCAUUUUGUAUUUUAAUUUAUCAAACUUUGGUGAAUUAGAGUAAUAAUGAGUGAAAAAGCUACACUGGGUUGGGUCUUAUUGAGAAAAAAUGUAAAUUUCCAUCAAAGUAGUUAUGUAGUUAUUCUAUAUAUCGCUCUAUUUUCUCUCUGUAUGUAAUGCAAGCUUGUCUAAUUUGGAGUUUUUUGUUAUAAUUAUGUCAUUUUCACCCAUUUAUCUAUUAAUUAUUUAAUAUUACUACUGCUUUGUACAAUUAUUUCAUCAACAUAUGUUUUGUUGGUUUUAAAUUUUGGAAGAGGCAGUGAUUUGAAGAUCUUGAUAAUUUAUUGUAGAAUUCUUUUAGCAUUAUUGUAACAACACUUUUAUUAGUAUUUGAUAUGACUUGCAUUACAUAUUACUUGUCACUUUACAUAAUUUGGGUAUGUUUUUCAUCAUAGAAAUCUUUUC